rnacentral:lncRNA from 1 species
UCUGGGUGUCCCCGGGGAGGCUGGCACUCCAGGAUUGCAGGCUCUCCAGCUGCCACUACAACAUCUGUGGGGUUUUGUCGGAAGUCAUCUCGUAACACUGAGGAAAAAUAAUUACAGGAAAAGAAAACUCAACGACAGUAACUUAGGCUUUUUGUUGUACAAGGUAAAUCCUCCAGGGAGAGCAAGCUGGUGACUCAUUUAUAUUCUAAAUACAGAACAGCUGCCUAUUUAUGCAAUGUUAAGAAGUGCAAAAAUAUGGUAACAGGGUGAUGAGCACCCCUACAA